rnacentral:ribozyme from 1 species
GGAAAGGAAGAAAGAGAAAUAAGGGCCAGUUGGUUGCAGUAGUCAGUUGCUUGUUUUUUCUGCUGUUUGCUGGUUUUUGGCUUUCGGCAGAUGCAGUUUUUUUGAUGAGAUUUUUUCUUCCCUUUUUUUUCUUUGUAUAGAUACUGUUCUCUUACAGCUCAGAGAAAAGAAGAGAGAACGAAAGGCAAACAGGAUUAAAGUUUCUUUUUUGUUUUUUCUCUUAUUAUUCUC